UGGUUCUGGCAUNGAUGAAGAACGCAGCGAAAUGCGAUAAGUAAUGUGAAUUGCAGAAUUCAGUGAAUCAUCGAAUCUUUGAACGCACAUUGCGCCCUUUGGCAUUCCGAGGGGCAUGCCCGUUCGAGCGUCAUUAACACCACUCAAGCCUGGCUUGGUAUUGGGCGUCGGGACCGUACCCGUGCCUCGAUGUGAAUUCGGCUGGCGGCCAGAGUCCUCCGCGUUGUGGCGCAUCUCUAUGCACCGCGGGGGUAGGACGGCCGCGUGCGCCGCUAAACUUUUAAUCAAUGUUGACCUCGGAUCGGGUAGGGAUACCCGCUGA
rnacentral:misc_RNA from 1 species